AACGUAGGAGACAAACGUUAUCCGGAGUUACUGGGCGUAAAGGGCGUGUAGGUGGUUUUGUAAGUCUGGCGUGAAAUUUUUCGGCUUAACCGGGAAAGGUCGUCGGAUACUGCAAGGCUAGAGGACGGUAGAGGCGUGUGGAAUUCCGGGGUGUAGUGGUGAAAUGCGUAGAGAUCCGGAGGAACACCAGUGGCGAAGGCGACACGCUGGGCUGUACCUGACACUGAUGCGCGACAGCAUGGGGAGCAAACAGG
rnacentral:rRNA from 1 species